AAGGUCUUAGCUUAAUUAAAGCGUCUGAGUUGCAUUUAGAAGAUGCAGGUUAAUAUCCUGUGGAUCUUA
rnacentral:tRNA from 1 species